AGUGAACGCUGGCGGUAGGCCUAACACAUGCAAGUCGAACGGCAGCACAGUAAGAGCUUGCUCUUACGGUUGGCGAGUGGCGGAUGGGUGAGGAAUACAUCGGAAUCUACUUUUUCGUGGGGGAUAACGUAGGGAAACUUACGCUAAUACCGCAUACGACCUACGGGUGAAAGCAGGGGAUCUUCGGACCUUGCGCGAUUGAAUGAGCCGAUGUCGGAUUAGCUAGUUGGCGGGGUAAAGGCCCACCAAGGCGACGAUCCGUAGCUGGUCUGAGAGGAUGAUCAGCCACACUGGAACUGAGACACGGUCCAGACUCCUACGGGAGGCAGCAGUGGGGAAUAUUGGGCAAUGGGCGCAAGCCUGAUCCAGCCAUACCGCGUGGGUGAAGAAGGCCUUCGGGUUGUAAAGCCCUUUUGUUGGGAAAGAAAAGCAGCAGGUUAAUACCCCGCUGUUCUGACGGUACCCAAAGAAUAAGCACCGGCUAACUUCGUG
rnacentral:rRNA from 1 species